CAGAAACCCUCCUUUUCUAUCUGAUCUUUGGCUCUGGCAAUGUGGAGGCUAAGAAAAAUUUUAUUAGGGAGCAGCCCUUCUUGUGAACUUUUGCACAGAUCUGCUACGAGUCAUUUUUAUAAAUCAGCGGGUAGACGUGUGUGUUAUUUUAAUAUGGCGGAACUGACCAAGUUCCUCUUCUUCUGAUGUGUUGUUUUUUUUUUUCUCUUUCUCUCUAUUUUUCCCAUACCUCUCCAAUUUUUACAUGAAGCUUUCUCUCAAGCUGGGUGCAACACCGGAGGAUUUCAGCAACCUCCCACCUGAACAAAGAAGGAAAAAGCUGCAGCAGAAAGUCGAUGAGUUAAAUAAAGAAAUUCAGAAGGAGAUGGAUCAAAGAGAUGCCAUAACAAAAAUGAAAGAUGUCUACCUAAAGAAUCCUCAGAUGGGAGACCCAGCCAGUUUGGAUCACAAAUUAGCAGAAGUCAGCCAAGUUGAAGGCCGGCUCCCAGCACGCAGUGAGCAGGCGCGCCGGCAGAGCGGACUGUACGACAGCCAGAACCCACCCACAGUCAACAACUGCGCCCAGGACCGCGAGAGCCCAGAUGGCAGUUACACAGAGGAGCAGACUCAGGAGAGUGAGGUGAAGGUGCUGGCCACGGAUUUUGACGACGAGUUUGAUGAUGAGGAGCCCCUCCCUGCCAUAGGG
rnacentral:sRNA from 1 species